AGUCGAGCGGAACGAUGGUAGCUUGCUACCAGGCGUCGAGCGGCGGACGGGUGAGUAAUACUUAGGAAUCUACCUAGUAGUGGGGGAUAGCUCGGGGAAACUCGAAUUAAUACCGCAUCCGACCUAUGGGAGAAAGGGGGCAACUUGUUGCUCUCGCUAUUAGAUGAGCCUAAGUCGGAUUAGCUAGAUGGUGGGGUAAAGGCCUACCAUGGCGACGAUCUGUAGCUGGUCUGAGAGGAUGAUCAGCCACACCGGGACUGAGACACGGCCCGGACUCCUACGGGAGGCAGCAGUGGGGAAUAUUGGACAAUGGGGGAAACCCUGAUCCAGCCAUGCCGCGUGUGUGAAGAAGGCCUUUUGGUUGUAAAGCACUUUAAGCAGUGAAGAAGACUCCUCGGUUAAUACCCGUGGACGAUGACAUUAGCUGCAGAAUAAGCACCGGCUAACUCUGUGCCAGCAGCCGCGGUAAUACAGAGGGUGCAAGCGUUAAUCGGAAUUACUGGGCGUAAAGCGAGCGUAGGUGGCUUGAUAAGUCAGAUGUGAAAUCCCCGGGCUUAACCUGGGAACUGCAUCUGAAACUGUUAGGCUAGAGUAGGUGAGAGGAAGGUAGAAUUCCAGGUGUAGCGGUGAAAUGCGUAGAGAUCUGGAGGAAUACCGAUGGCGAAGGCAGCCUUCUGGCAUCAUACUGACACUGAGGCUCGAAAGCGUGGGUAGCAAACAGGAUUAGAUACCCUGGUAGUCCACGCCGUAAACGAUGUCUACUAGUCGUUGGGUCCCUUGAGGACUUAGUGACGCAGCUAACGCAAUAAGUAGACCGCCUGGGGAGUACGGCCGCAAGGUUAAAACUCAAAUGAAUUGACGGGGGCCCGCACAAGCGGUGGAGCAUGUGGUUUAAUUCGAUGCAACGCGAAGAACCUUACCUGUCUUGACAUAUCUAGAAUCCUGCAGAGAUGCGGGAGUGCCUUCGGGAAUUAGAAUACAGGUGCUGCAUGGCUGUCGUCAGCUCGUGUCGUGAGAUGUUGGGUUAAGUCCCGCAACGAGCGCAACCCUUGUCCUUAGUUACCAGCGGGUUAAGCCGGGAACUCUAAGGAUACUGCCAGUGACAAACUGGAGGAAGGCGGGGACGACGUCAAGUCAUCAUGGCCCCUACGACCAGGGCUACACACGUGCUACAAUGGUAGGUACAGAGGGCAGCUACACAGCGAUGUGAUGCGAAUCUCAAAAAGCCUAUCGUAGUCCAGAUUGGAGUUUGCAACUCGACUCCAUGAAGUAGGAAUCGCUAGUAAUCGCGGAUCAGAAUGCCGCGAUG
rnacentral:rRNA from 1 species